GAAGAAAAUGGAGAAUUGCUUUAGAAGUAGGGUUCAUGAUUUCAACAUGGCUUCAAGAAAAGCUGAAGAAGCAGGUUAGUUUGUUCGAUCACAUUGUUUCUUUUGAUUUUGUGUUCCAACUUUGCUGCUUCUCUUCGUAAUGAAAACAUGGUAACGAUUUUAGUUUAAAUUAUCUCCUCACCACAAUUGAUUCUACAAAAGAAAGAAGUAGCGUACCUCAUUGUUGCACUUCCACUCCUCCAUUAUCAGAUGCUUCAUUAGUGCCUGAAAGUUCAAAGUGUAAUAGAGGUUGCACCAGAAAGUGCAUUUGCAAUCAGAAGCAUCUCUUAGCAAUGCAAGAAAAAGAACUUCAGGAUCUCAAGGCUUUUAAAGUUGAAAAUCAAGAAUGAUUUUGAAUACAUGCAAUCACAUGUUCAGAGUUUUUUUAAUGAACUCGGGAGUCAAGUAGAGGAUAUGGCAACUAAAACUGGUGGAUAUAACAGAGUAGUAGAAGAGAAUAGGAAAUUAUUUAACACUAGCAAUAGCUACGAGAUCCGAUCAGAGGCAUACAAAUCACUACAAAUUGGUGAUGAAUAAGAAGGAAUAUAUUCAUACAUCAACAAACAAAAUUACGAGGAUAAUAUUUCACAAAGAGAGUUCUAGCAUCAACAAACAAAGUUCCAACAUCCA